UUAUGAUAGAGGUGCGAAUACUAUCAGUAAUGUGUGACGAGGGCUUUCGCAAAGCUAUGGCACAAAUGAAAGGAGUAUUUGCCGAAGAAACCGAGGCGAAAGGUUUUCUGGGAGUGCGGACAAUAUCCGUUCUACUGUCGCAGAUGCGGAGUGCUAUCUU
rnacentral:ncRNA from 1 species